UCCCGUUACCCCUGGAGGCGGCCACGGCCGCCAGCGAGUGCAUGUAGGGGGUCUCCCAGCGCUCCAUCACCGGCUUCCCCAGGAUCUCCAGGUGGGCGUCGGGGGCGUCGUAGGCGGCCGUCGCCCCCCGCCAGGCCUGCCGGCAAUCCUCGCCAUCCGCAAAGAUGGGUGCUGCGGCCGGGUGGGCGCUCAUGGUCCCGCGGGAGGAAAGUCCAAGGGCUCGGCGGUGCUGGGGGAGGGAGAGGGCUCCGGGCGCUCGGCCGGCUUUAAAUAGCCGGGGCUGGGAAAGAGCUGAGUGUGCACGGCGGGCUGGGGCCCCUUUUGGGUGAAAGGGCUGCCUUAUCGGGCUGGGAGGGGACAGCGGGGGCCGGGCGAGCGGUGCCCACGUGCGGUUGGGUGGUCCGGGGUGGCUGGGGGGGGACGUGGGGACUGUGCCGUGCACCAGGGCCAUGCAAUGAGGGUGUGCCGUGCACUGGGGUCAUGCAAUAAAGCUGUGACAUGCAUGGGGUUUAUGCACUGUGUAUUGCAAUGUGCAUCAGGGCUGUGCCGUGCAUUGCAACCAUGCACCAGGGCCAUGCAAAGAGGGUGUGCUGAGUACUGGGGCCAUGCGCUGGGGCUGUACUGUGCACUGGGGCCUUGCACCAGGGCUGUGCCAUGCAUUGCAACGUGCACCAAGGCUGUGCCAUGUACUGGGGCCAUGCAGGAAUGCCGUGCCAUGCAUUGGGGCCGUGCACUGGGGCUGUACCAUGCAUUGGGGCCGUGCAAUAAGGGUGUGCCAUGCACUGAGGCCUUGCGCUGGCGCUGUGCCAUGCACCGGGCCCAUGCAAUGAGGGCGUGCUGUGCACUGGGGGCUUGCAACGUGCACCAUACGUUGCAACGUGCACCAGGGCUGUGCUGUGCAUUGGGGCCAUGCAAUAAAGUUGUGCCAUGCACCAGGGCCAUGCACUGUGUAUUGCAAUGUGCAUCAGAGCUGCACCAUGCAUUGCAACCAUGCACUAGGGCCUUGCACUGGGGCCGUGCCAUGCAUUGCAACAUGCACCAGGGCUGUGCUGUGCAUUGCAACCAUGCACCGGGGCCAUGCAGUGAGGGUGUGCUGUGCACUGGGGCCAUGCACUGGGGCUGUGCCAUGCACCGGGGCCAUGCAAUAAAGUUGUGCCGUGCACCAGGGCCAUGCACUGUGUAUUGCAACGUGCAUCGGAGCUGCACUGUGCAUUGCAACCAUGCACUAGGGCCUUGAACUGAGGCCGGGCCAUGCAUUGCAACAUGCACCAGGGCUGUGCUGUGCAUUGCAACCAUGCACCGGGGCCAU
rnacentral:lncRNA from 1 species